rnacentral:tRNA from 1 species
GUGAGCGUAGCUCAGUCGGUAGAGCACUGGAUUGUGGUUCCAGUGGUCGCGGGUUCAAGCCCCGUCGCUCACCCCA